GCUUAGAGCAAUUAGGAAUUGAAUGGUCUAAGAGUAAUCACUUAGAUGGAGCUUAUGGUUUUUUUAUUAACUUCUCUCUCUCUCUCUCACUCCCUCAUUUCUUUUUUAUUCUUUUCUCUUUUUGGCUAACUACUCUCUCCUUUCUCUCUUCCUUUUCUCUUUUUUGGUAACAUAGCAGAGUUUUCUGCCAAGGCAUUUGCUUAUUGUGGAGAGAGGAGAUUUAGUGAAUAGUUUUGUUAUUGAAAUUGCAAACAUACACUUUAUCUAAUCUCUGUUCGGAAAAAGAUAGGGACCUCUUUCUCUUAAAAUAAUGGCUGUGCUGGUUAUUAUUUUAAGGGGUGGGCAAGUUAAUUAA
rnacentral:misc_RNA from 1 species